CAAGCCUCUCGUACGACCCCCUCACCCCCCGAUUUUCUUUCCCCCGUCCCAGUCCCACCUCUCGUACGACCCACUCGAUUUUCUUUCCCCCUCUGGCCUGCUCCUCAUGCCGGCGUCCGGCGCCACCGCUACCAACCUCCAGCCGUCGUCCAAAACAACAGCACCAUGGAUCCCGAUGUGGAGCUCCACUGCAGCCCGAUCUGACCUGGGAGCAACCAGAUCCGUGCGUCUCCGCCUCGCUCCGCGUGCCUCCAUGGUCCGCCGUCUUCCCGAGCGCCGGCGCCACGCGACCAGAUCCGUGCGUCUCCGCCUCGCUCCGCGCGCCUCCAUGGUCCGCCGUCUUCCCGAGCGCCGGCGCCACGCGACCAGAUCCGUGCGUCUCCGCCUCGCUCCGCGCGCCUCCAUGGUCCGCCGUCUUCCCGAGCGCCGGCGCUGCGCUCAGCCGCCGCCAUCCCGUGCCAUGGUCGCCUCCCUCCAGAACGACGUGCCAUGGUCGCUUCCCUGCCUCUCCGGCAAGUGGGCCUUUGCGUUUCUUUGCUUUUUUUCAGGACACUAGGUGCCAGGUCUGGUGACCCAAGACUAUUGCUUUCAGUUAUUCAAUGGUGUUCAUACUGCAUAUUGCUAUCAGAUAUGCCAUUGCCUGCAGCGGCAAGCUUGAAUGCCAUGUUUGCAUGUUUAUUUGAUUCAAGUGUAUAGAUAAGGGGUAAACUGAACCAUGCUAAUUCGCUACCAGGUUGGAGAUUUGGGAUCGGAUGCGCCAAUAACAAGGGACCAAGGUGAUGAACUAACGGCACAGGCAGAAUGAUUCUUCAGGAUGAAUCAGAAACUGAAGAUGAUGAUACAAUGGACACAGAAGAAGCUUCCUCUGUCCUCAUCACUGCACUGUAGUCUUUCAGCCAAGCUCUGGUGAAUGAUGACGGAGAAAAAGAUAUCGUGACAGAGGUUCAUGUCUUCUUGUGUCCAACCCUAGAUCACAGGGGCUCUCUUAUCAGCAAAAUAGCUACUCUAGAUGCGCAGAUGACGAUCCAGCCGCGGUUGCGCUUUAUCUCGUCGGGACGAAAUAGCCCUGCCUUGUCCCUGCCGCCGCCGGUAGAGGCUAUUUUCCAUAGGCCAAGGAAACAACAUGGACAUGCUGCCCUUUUUCCCAAUCAAAAUACUUCUGUGUGGAGAGCUCGGGCGUCGGUGGUUGUGUCGAAGCAGAGCUCGGUCAUCGGUGACAGCACGGCCGGCUGAUUUGCGACUGGUCGGAUGGCGAGCUUCACAUACCUGUGCGCGUACGCAUGGGUAACACACUAUAUUGGCCGCGCAAGAGCAAGUUCACAGUGAUUGCAAGGGGAGAGAUGUGCUGCACUUAUGUCAGUAAUCACGGCAGGCCCAUAUCCAUUAUAUGCAUAUUUUGUUAGUACUAUUGUAAUUUAGCAAGUUCUUGUUCUUUCCGUAAGUUGUUUGCUGAACAUUUCAUGCCGCCUUGAGCAUGCAAAAGUACUUCUGAAUUUUGCAUGAUAUUUUGUUAGUCAUAAAUCACGUCACACACCACAUCUAUAUUUUUUUUUUGGUAGUUUAAAAAUAACUAUUCUAAAUGUUCUUUUAAUAACUAUUCUAAAUGUACUAUAGACCGAAGUCAGAAUAUUGGUAAGCUCAUUCUUUUUGUAAGCUAUGGAGAUGAAUUUGAUGAGUUGUGUGAAGAUGAAAGGAAGCCGAUGGAAUAUACUUUGAUUAGCAGUGACCUUGGAGAGCGAAUGGUGCCCCUACAUAGACUUUACUGAAAAGUUGCUAUUUAAUGUUUUUUUGGUUAGAGAAAAGAUCACAGUGGACACAACUGCAGAAGCAGCGAUUCAAUGUUUUAUUCAGUUUAACCAUGACUAUUCUUUUCAUUCAGAUAUGGUAUGAACUAAAUUAUGUAUCUUCUUCGCCCUUGAAUUGGAUAAUUACCGUGGUUUCAUCUUUUGACUCAGAUAUGCGCAAGGAAUUGAAUAGGUGCUGGUUUUUUUAUCAUAAUCUGUCCACCGACAAUGCAUACGAAAGUAGAUAUGAAGGACUAUUUUAUGCCAUUUGAUUGGAACACUAAACUAGGUUUUGUUGGUUCUUGAGUGAAAAGAUAGUUGAUGGUGGAACAAGGUGCCCCAGAUUAAUUAGGAAAUGAGAAAGUUGCAUUUUGGUGAUCC